UUAAAAGCUUAUAAUGAAUGUACAACAUUAACAGACCAAGAGAAGAUGCUUUCCUGUAUCAAAUGUGGAAAACUGCAGAGAAAUUUGGGUCCUGCUCUUAGCAAGACUGUUGCCCAGCUGUAUUGCACGGAUGGUCCCCUGUGUUAGUGAAACAUAUGCCUUCAAGACUUUCAGCUGUGAAAUCCAGUGCCAUUUGGAAACGUUUGCAAAGACAGCAGCCUUUUCAAUCUGUUUCUUUCUUAAAACAUUUUCCAUUUUACCUGCUAUAAAUUCUGUCUGAUUUGGAUUAUUGCCUAAAAUAGAUCUGCCAUGAAUUUUGGAGAUGUCAGUACAUAGAAUUUUAGCAAAGGAAAAGACAAUUGGACAUUUUGACUUUCUCACUCAAGUGGAUGACUGCUUUGUAUGAACAGAAAUGGUGAUCAGUAAAACUGUUUGUUACAUAUUUGUUCAUCUGCCUCUGUAUGUGAGUAAUAGAUAUAUUUUUGUUUGUACUAAAAGGGUUUUGUAGAUGUACUCUCAUGAGUGGCAAAGCCACAAGUGUCCUACAAAAGUGUAACUCUCCAGUAAUAAAAACUAAUCUCACCUUCAGCAUUUUAAGUGCUUAAAAAUUAAGCAUUAUGACAACAGAAUGUUGUAAAACUAAAGAGGUUAAGUUAAAAUAAGCAGAUUGUGUGAUACAGACAGACUGUAAAACAGUAGGAUAAUAAAACAUUUAAUCUGA